GGCCCCGUGGCUUAGCCUGGCUAUAGCGCCUGUCUUAUAAGCAGGAGGUCGUGAGUUCAAAUCUCGCCGGGGCCA
rnacentral:tRNA from 1 species